CCGUGCGGGAUGAAGGCCUUCGGGUUGUAAACCGCUUCAUCAGGGACGAAGCGAGAGUGACGGUACCUGGAGAAGAAGCGCCGGCUAACUAACGUGC
rnacentral:rRNA from 1 species